rnacentral:rRNA from 1 species
UGCCAGACUCCUACGGGAGGCAGCAGUGAGGAAUAUUGGUCAAUGGGCGGGAGCCUGAACCAGCCAAGUCGCGUGAGGGAAGACGGUCCUAUGGAUUGUAAACCUCUUUAGGCGGGGAGCAAUGCCGGGCACGUGUGCCCGGAGGGAGAGUACCGUACGAAUAAGCAUCGGCUAACUCCGUGCCAGCAGCCGCGGUAAUACGGGGGAUGCAAGCGUUAUCCGGAUUUAUUGGGUUUAAAGGGUGCGUAGGCUGUGAGGUAAGUCAGCGGUGAAAUGCCCCCGCUCAACGGGGUGAAGUGCCAUUGAUACUGCCUUGCUGGAAUGCGGAUGCCGGGGGAGGAAUGUGUGGUGUAGCGGUGAAAUGCAUAGAUAUCACACAGAACACCGAUUGCGAAGGCAUCGCACGAAUCCGCGAUUGACGCUGAUGCACGAAAGCGUGGGUAUCAAACAGGAUUAGAUACCCCUGUAUUA